UACGAAGGACCCAAGCGUUAUCCGGAUUUAUUGGGUUUAAAGGGGGCGUAGGCGGGUUGUUAAGGCAGUGGGGAAAGCUCCGAGCCUAACUCGGAAACUGCCAUUGAUACUGACGAUCUUGAGUACAUUUGAGGUGGGCGGAAUGUGUCAUGUAGCGGUGAAAUGCUUAGAUAUGACACAGAACACCGAUUGCGAAGGCAGCUCACUAAACUGUAACUGACGCUGAGGCACGAAAGCGUGGGGAGCAAACAGG
rnacentral:rRNA from 1 species